AGAAGACAACAGACAGAGAUUACUAGUAGCUUAAAUACUUGAAGAACUCAAAUUCAACUAGGACAAGGGACGAGCCAUGCAGCUUCUCACCAUACUGGUCAUCUUCACUGUCUUCUCGGCUAGAUUAGCAUCAUCUCUCGAGUCAUACUUCCACAGUUGUGAGGAUAAAGCACCAAAAGAUGGCUCAUUAGGGAUAGAAGAUUCCCAAUUGAUGGGCUGCAGUUUUUCAUGCCUUAUGAAUAAAGACUGCAAGUCUUUCACCAUCAGCGGCAACAACUGCGAAUUGUACAGUAAACCUGUCACCAAAUGCACUGGAAAUUGGUUCGUCUCAAAAAAGGGGACAAAGACUUGGUAUAAAACUACCUAGAUAUUGUUGGACGAUGCACAAGUACACUGACUCACUAUUAAAAGUGUGGCAGAUAGACUAUCAUAGAUUAGAGUGGACUAUAGUCUACUUCACAAGCAAAUAGCAGAAUCUCCAGUCUGAUUUUUUUAGCUUUCAAUGCACAGAAAAUGCAUCAUCAGAACAAAUGGUUAUAUACGAUCUGAAAUGUUUGAAUACCUACAUGUACUUACUCAGCCAGAAUCAGCCAAAGCAUGCUGAAGAACUAGCCAUUUGAAGUGAAAUACUGACAAUUUUUCCCAUCCAUUUUAGCCUUUUUUUGCACACAUGACCAUUUUUGUAUGAAAUGGUGUACAGGUUCAAGAUUAUAAGAAAGCAAUAAAGACACAAGCCAGUCUUCAACAGUAUGUACGUAGUCUUGAUAUUGAUAGUCAAAAGAAUUCUACAUGUGGGACUACCAAUUUUGGAACGAUGGGUUACAUAUACUACAGGACUCGUAUUGAUCAAAUAGUCUAACAACAAAUAAAUAACACUUAUACAUCAUUGCAUGUCAUGUAUUGCUUGGACGGAUAAAGGUGUCGUCAGAGAACUACAUGAACUCAAUUUGACUUUCCUACAUGUAAUUUUGAUCAUGGUAAAACGCUCAUACUACCAUGAAAAAGAAAAAAACCCUCAUCGAGUAACAUUAUGGAAAACCUUACUGAUAAAAAAUACACGGCACUUAAGUCCAAAAAUAAAUAUUUAUCAAAAGGUCA